AAACUUUCAACAACGGAUCUCUUGGCUCUAGCAUCGAUGAAGAACGCAGCGAAAUGCGAUAAGUAAUGUGAAUGGCAAAAUUCAGUGAAUCAUCGAAUCUUUGAACGCACAUUGCGCCUGGCAGUAUUCUGCCAGGCAUGCCUGUCCGAGCGUCAUUU
rnacentral:rRNA from 1 species